rnacentral:rRNA from 1 species
UGAACGCUGGCGGCAUGCCUAACACAUGCAAGUCGAACGGCAGCACAGUAGAGCUUGCUCUAUGGGUGGCGAGUGGCGGACGGGUGAGUAAUGCAUCGGGAUCUACCCAAACGUGGGGGAUAACGUAGGGAAACUUACGCUAAUACCGCAUACGUCUUACGAGAGAAAGCAGGGGACCUUCGGGCCUUGCGCGGCUGGACGAACCGAUGUGCGAUUAGCUAGUUGGUAGGGUAAUGGCCUACCAAGGCGACGAUCGCUAGCUGGUCUGAGAGGAUGAUCAGCCACACUGGAACUGAGACACGGUCCAGACUCCUACGGGAGGCAGCAGUGGGGAAUAUUGGACAAUGGGCGCAAGCCUGAUCCAGCAAUGCCGCGUGUGUGAAGAAGG